GUACAACCAAUAGAAAUUUGGUUUGACUAGCUAAGGUUCGCAUGCGAACCAAUGGCGUCUUUCGUUGCUUCAUUGACCCGUAAAAUUCCGAGUAUCUCCGUACUCUAGUAUCGCUACACUCUUUCAAUGCUCGUGAAGGAUGAAAUUUAAUAUAAUAUAGUCUAGCAAAGAACGUUUAUUACAAUCAACAGUGUCCAGAUCUUUCUGUUAGUGUACUCAGUGAAGCUUUUCCUUUGCUAAAAUAAUUGCCUAGAGGGUGAAACACACCAAAUACAUAGGUGUAGAUCUGUUUGCCUUAGCUUCGAACAUUUUACCUAAAUACGCCUUCUGAAAUCGAUACAUUCAAACCCACGUCUUAACUUAGUGUCGCACUCGACGCGCGCAGUGUCUGGAGAGAGCUUUGUGACAACAUAAUACAUGUUCCAAGUUGUGAUAACAUAAUACAUGUCCCAAGUUGAUCUUCACCUGUUGGUGCUGGCCACUAGGUAUGUAAACUGCUAAGAACCAAAUAUUUGUUUUUGUAUGAAUUAAGAUCUACAGUCUUCCUUUGUGACUUGUAUGUCAAGUCUGUUCUAUUGUGACUUGUGAGGUCUGUCCAGUAGGCUGGUAAGUAAAUCUAUGUUUGUACCAACAUCAGUUGCAACAUUCAACUCACAAUCAGGAGACGACUUCCCGACACUGAUGGUUCUCAACAAGUUUUGGAGUGGCGCGAGUCUUCCGGAGAAGUUUGAAAUAAGAGCAGCAUCUUUUUGUUUUAACUUGCUUCGACUUUUUAAAAUGAAUUGUUUGUGAGAAUAAUUCAAGUGUCGUUAUAUCCUAGUCAAAUAGAACACUGUUUCUCAUUCUUUAGCUGAUAUAUUCUAGUCAAAUAAAACAAUAUUUCUCAUUCUUAAGCUGAUGUAUUCUAGUGAAAUAAAACAAUAUUUCUCAUUCUUUAGCUGAUGUAUCCUAGUCAAAUAGAACAAUAUUUCUCAUUCUUUAGCUUCUGUAUCCUAGUGAGAUAAAACAAUAUUUCUCAUUCUUUAGCUGAUGUAUCCUAGUAAAAUAAAACAAUAUUUCUCAUUCUUUAGCUGAUGUAUCCUAGUAAAAUAAAACAAUAUUUCUCAUUCUUUAGCUGAUGUAUUCUAGUGAAAUAAAACAAUGUUUCUUCUUAUUUAGCUGCUGUAUCCUAGUGAGAUAAAACAAUGUUUCUUCUUAUUUAGCUUCUGUAUUCUAGUGAAAUAAAACAAUGUUUCUCAUUCUUUAGCUGAUGUAUCCUAGUGAAAUAAAACAAUGUUUCUCAUUCUUUAGCUGAUGUAUCCUAGUGAAAUAAAACAAUGUUUCUCAUUCUUUAGCU
rnacentral:sRNA from 1 species